GACGAACGCUGGCGGCGUGCCUAAUACAUGCAAGUCGAACGCAUUUUCUUUCACCGUAGCUUGCUACACCGAAAGAAAAUGAGUGGCGAACGGGUGAGUAACACGUGGGCAACCUGCCCAUCAGCGGGGGAUAACACUUGGAAACAGGUGCUAAUACCGCAUAAUUCCAUUUACCGCAUGGUUGAGGGAUGAAAGGCGCUUUUGCGUCACUGAUGGAUGGACCCGCGGUGCAUUAGCUAGUUGGUGGGGUAACGGCCUACCAAGGCUGCGAUGCAUAGCCGACCUGAGAGGGUGAUCGGCCACACUGGGACUGAGACACGGCCCAGACUCCUACGGGAGGCAGCAGUAGGGAAUCUUCGGCAAUGGACGCAAGUCUGACCGAGCAACGCCGCGUGAGUGAAGAAGGUUGUCGGAUCGUAAAACUCUGUUGUUAGAGAAGAACAAGGAUGAGAGUGGAAAGUUCAUCCCUUGACGGUAUCUAACCAGAAAGCCACGGCUAACUACGUG
rnacentral:rRNA from 1 species